rfam:Candidatus Kerfeldbacteria bacterium RIFCSPHIGHO2_02_FTLL_42_14 rifcsphigho2_02_scaffold_559, whole genome shotgun sequence.
GAUUCAACAAGCAAGAGCAUAUGGUGGAUGCCUAGACAUGCAAAGCCGAUGAAGGACGUAGCAGCCUGCGAUAAGCUUCGGGGAGGUGGCAAGCAACCUUUGAUCCGAAGAUCUCCGAAUGGGGAAACCCUUCCGAUAGAAGAUCGGAAAUCAUGCACUGAAUUCAUAGGUGCAUGAGGACAACCUAGUGAAUUGAAACAUCUUAGUAGCUAGAGGAAAAGAAAGAAAUUAUCAAUACUUUUCUAUAAGAUUGGCGCACGCCAAAAGCGAAUGCGCUCCUUAUAGAAAGGUAUUGCGAUUCCCUGAGUAGUGGCGAACGAAAAGGGAGCAGCAAAAACCUUUACAACGUACUCUAACUUCGUGUUAGGGAGAGAAGUGAUACGCUGCUGUUAUAAAGGUGUUGUGAGAGACUUACGUUUGGAGCGUAUUGAUCCAAGAUAGAGUUUAACAAACAAAAUACUUAGAAGAACGCCGUGGAAAACGGAGGCCAUAGAAGGUGACAGCCCUGUAUUUAAAAAGUGUUUUGUACUCUAUGGUAGGUAUUCUCGAGUACCAUGGGACACGUGAAAUCCUAUGGGAAGCCAGGUCGACUAUGACCUAAUGCUCAAUACUUUGCAUGAUCGAUAGUGAACCAGUACCGUGAGGGAAAGGUGAAAAGCACCCCGGAAGGGGGAUGAAAUAGUAUCUGAAACCAUAUGCUUACAGAACGUUGGAGGGCUAUGCCUCGCAAGAGGAAUGCCUCACAGCGUGCCUAUUGAAGAAUGAGCCAGUGAGUUCGUAGGUAGAGUUCGAAUAAGUCCUACGGGACGUAUUCAGAGUGAAAGCGAGCGUUAAAAGCGCGAUCAUCAUUAAUAAUGCGCAAGCGAGUUGGUUACUCAGUUUACUGAGUGAUCGCACAUUCGCCAGCGCUUAUUGGUGAUACGAUUCUACUUACGAGACCCGAAGCCGUGCGACCUACCCAUGACCAGGGUGAACCCCGAUGAAGAUCGGGGGGAGGCCCGAACCCGUGAGCCGUGCAAAACUCUGGGAUGAGUUGUGGGUAGCGGAGAAAUUCCAAUCGAGCUCGGCGAUAGCUGGUUCUCCUCGAAAUAGCUUUAGGGCUAGCCUUGUUAAUUCCCCUUUGGAGGUAGAGCACUGGAUGGGUUGGGGUGGCUUUUUGCCUACUCAAUCUAACCAAACUCCGAAUGCCAAAGGAUGUUAUAACAGGAGUCAGACCGUGAGGGCCAAGCUUCACAGGUCAAAAGGGAAACAGCCCAGAUCGCCAUCUAAGGUCCCAAAAUUGAGGUUAAGUGGAGAAGGUAGUGCUAUGGCUUAUACAACUAGGAGGUUGGCUUAGAAGCAGCCAUCCUUUAAAGAAAGCGUAACAGCUCACUAGUCGAGUCAUUGCGCGCCGAAGAUGUAACGGGGCUCAAACCUCGUACCGAAGAUGCGACUUCGGUAUGCGAAAGCAUACUGAGGGGUAGAGGAGCAUUCUGUAUCCGAUGAAGUCGUACCGAAAGGAACGGUGGAGGAUACAGAAGAGAGAAUGCUGGUAUGAGUAACAAAAAGACAGGUGAAAACCCUGUCCACCGUAAACCCAAGGUUUCCUGGGCAACGCAAAUCGUCCCAGGGUGAGUCGAUCCUAAGCCGAGGCCGAAAGGCGUAGGUGAUGGAAGAGCAGGUUAAUAUUCCUGCACUACCGUGCUGUUGUUUCACCAGACGCAUAUUCCAAUUCUGAACAUUAUUUGGCUACUGAUGUCUCAGUGUUUCACGCAAGUGGAACAUCGAGCGAGGGAGAGUGGAAACACAAUCCCAAGUCAGAAGUAAGAUGUGCCAAGAAAAAAAGUGAAACGCGUGCAGUGCGGUAAUCGUACCGGAAACCGACACAGGUGGGUGGGUGCGAAAUGCACUCAGGUGUACGAGAGAACCUUCGUUUAGGAACUAGGCAAUACAACGGCCGUAACUUAGGGAUAAGGCCUGCCCGAUCGCCGAAAGGCAAUUGGGCCGCAGCGAAAGACCUCAAGCGACUGUUUAUCAAAAACACAGCUCCCUGCUAAACCGUAAGGUGAUGUAUAGGGGGUGAUGCCUGGCCAGUGUCCGAACGUUAAGGGGAGGGGUGCAAGCCUCGAACCGAAGCGCGGAUGAACGCCGGCGAUAACUAUAAUCGUCCUAAGGUUAAACGCUUUUUAGCUAAAAUAAGCAAAAGAGUGUUUAAGGACUGGGACGAUUAUAUAUCAAACGCUGCCUCGUUUUGCAGCAAUGUAAAAUGGUCAAAAAAAAUGUGGCUAUAUGCUGGAAAAUCUUAUAAAAUACUAGGGUUAGAAUAAACCAUAGUUAUGAAAUGAGAUAAUCAUCAGGAAAGGCCAGAAGUAAUUGGAUGGAUUACCGGAUUUGUAGAUGGUGAAGGAUGCUUUUCAGUAAGUAUCAUCCGGAACCAAACGACAAAGCUCGGUUGGCAAGUAUUUCCUGAAUUCGUCGUAACACAAGGAGAAAAAAGUAAAAAUCAUUGAAUCUACUCAAAAAUUACUUCGGAUGUGGAAGUAUAUAUAGAAACCGAAGACAUGAUAACCACACAGAAGAUCUCCUUAAAUACUGCGUACGAUCACAAAAAGAAAUAAGGAAAAAGAUCAUCCCCUUCUUCGAUAAAAAUUCACUCAGAACAGCAAAAGCAAAUGACUUUAGGAAAUUCAAAAAAAUCCUAGAGCUCAUGGAAAAGAAUGAACAUAAGAAUAUGAAGGGUUUAAAAAAAAUUGCCAUCAUCAUUCAAACGAUGAAUCGAAAAAUCCCAUCAAAACUACUGGAAUCCUCAGAGACUACACGCCAUACCCCUUCUGUUAAGAAGGGUGAAGAUAUAGUCCGGACUCCAAAGGAAGUCAGAGCGAAAUUCCUUGUCGGGUAAGUUCCGACGUGCACGAAUGGCAUAACGACUUGAGGACUGUCUCAACGAGGGACUCGGUGAAAUUGCAUGGCCCGUGAAGAUGCGGGCAACCCGCAGCUGGACGGAAAGACCCCGUGGAGCUUUACUACAGCUUGGCAUUGAUUUAGGAUUGCGUUUGUUCAGUAUAAGUGGGAGACUCUGAAGUCCCGACGCUAGUUGGGAUGGAGUCGCCAAUGAGAUACCACUCUUAUGCGAUUUUAAUUCUAACUCCUACCCGUGAAUCCGGGGGGAGGACAGUGUCUGGUGGGUAGUUUGACUGGGGCGGUGGCCUCAUAAAGAGUAACUGAGGCGUUCACAAAGGUUGGCUACUCCGGGAUGGAAAUCCGGAGGAUAGUGCAAAGGCAAAAGCCAGCUUUACUGCAAGGGGAACAUCCCGCGCAGUCACGAAAGUGGGACUUAGUGAUCCGACCGUUACGAGUUUUAAGUACGCAAGUACUUGGGACUCUCGAUAUAGGACGGCGGAAGCUCAACGGAUAAAAGUUACCCCGGGGAUACAUACUCUGUGUCCCUUUCAUUCGGUAACGAAUGGAAAUAGUAUACGGCUAAUAACGGUGAAGCUCUCUUCGCAUACAUCGAAUGCGAAAGAGUAAUACCGUGGGAAGUCCUCCGACACCAUGUCAGAGUGACCCCGUAUCGACUGAGAGCGAGAAACAAUACAGCAAUAGAGCUCGAGAUUCUGGUUAAAUCCCAGAAUAAUACGCCGUACUCCCGAUAAAAAUCGGGAUGAAGAUAUAGUCAGUGCCUUAAGGAAACUUAAGGAAGAAAAUAACACGAACAGGCUGGUAGCGCCCAAGCGUCCAUAGCGACGGCGCUGUUCGGCACCUCGAUGUCGGCUCGUCACAUCCUGGCGGUGCAGAAGCUGCCAAGGGUUUGGCUGUUCGCCAAUUAAAGUGGUACGCGAGCUGGGUUCAGAACGUCGCGAGACAGUUCGGUCCCCUAUCCGCUGUGGGCGUUGAAACUUGAGAAGGCUCUUCCUCAGUACGAGAGGACCAGGAAGAACAGACCUCCCGUGUAUCGGUUGUCCUGCCAAGGGCAUUGCCGAGUAGCGACGUCUGGUUAAGAUAAACGCUGAAAGCAUCUAAGCGUGAAGCUGUCUUCAAGAUAAGGUUUCGUUUGAGGUCCCCGGAAGACUACCGGGUUGAUAGGCUCUACGUAGAAGCGCGGUAACGCGUGAAGCGAAGGAGUACUAAUAGACCGAUGUUGAAUCAU